CCGGAUCCAGAUAAACAUCCGCUCUGGAGAUGUACCAACCGUUCCAACUUGAAAAGUUCAGCUGCUUGCUUUUGCGCAACUACCAGUCUUCCCUCCUCCUUUCCCCUAACCUCCAGUCUUCCUUGUUUAUCCGCUUUUGAUUUUUGAAUAAACCUCUCUCUCUCUCUCUCUCUCUCUCUCUCUCUCUCUCUCUUCAAAACUAGUAUUUAAGCGCCACCACACUCAAGCUUCUCAUUCACAGCCUCUCUUCUUUCUUGCCUAAAAAAGAAGAGGAGGGAAAUACAAGCUGUGGUAUUCUUCCUUCUUUCAACUUCUCUUUAGGAAUGGCUGACUUAAAUCAUUCAUCUGAGGAUGUUUCUGAUGAUUCUCAAGGUGGUCUCUAAUUGCUGGGAGAAUCCCAGGAAGAACAGCAGAAGAGAUUGAGAAGUACUGGACUUCAAGGUACUCAUCUAGUGAAUGAAUGAAUGACGGAAGAAGUGAAGUGGAGUUCUAUUUUCUCUUGCAGAAAGCAAGCAAUUUUUGGGUGUGUGAUGAUGCUGUGGUGUUUUUUUAUUACGUGGAAUUGAACUGAUCAGCUCCCUAAAUGGAAUGAGUAUAAAGGAAAAAUGAUUAUCUGUUCUUUGUACAAAUAUCCAUUAUAUUACUAUGGUGUCUUUUGGGAAAGAAAAAUGACCCAAAUGUGUGUUGUGAAUUUAUGGACACUUGUAUUUCUCUUUUUGAUCAUUGUAUUAUUGAUUUGGGUUUUGGGAA